UCCGCCUUAGCUCAAUGGUCAGAGCGCUGCGCUGUGGACGCAGAGACUCAGGUUCGACUCCUGGAGGCGGGACCA
rnacentral:tRNA from 1 species